rnacentral:rRNA from 1 species
UACGGAGGGUGCAAGCGUUAUCCGGAUUCACUGGGUUUAAAGGGUGCGUAGGUGGGCUGGUAAGUCCGUGGUGAAAUCUCCGAGCUUAACUCGGAAACUGCCGUGGAUACUAUCAGUCUUGAAUAUCGUGGAGGUAAGCGGAAUAUGUCAUGUAGCGGUGAAAUGCUUAGAUAUGACAUAGAACACCGAUAGCGGAGGCAGCUUACUACGCGAUUAUUGACACUGAGGCACGAAAGCGUGGGGAUCAAACAGG